GAUGACCCCCCACACUGGUACUGAGACACGGACCAGACUCCUACGGGAGGCAGCAGUGAGGAAUAUUGGUCAAUGGGCGAGAGCCUGAACCAGCCAAGUCGCGUGCAGGAUGACUGCCUUAUGGGUUGUAAACUGCUUUUAUAAAGGAAUAGCAACAGAAACGUGUUUCUGGAUGAAUGUACUUUAGGAAUAAGGAUCGGCUAACUCCGUGCCAGCAGCCGCGGUAAUACGGAGGAUCCAAGCGUUAUCCGGAUUUAUUGGGUUUAAAGGGUGCGUAGGCGGUAGCUUAAGUCAGUGGUGAAAGUUUGCAGCUCAACUGUAAAAUUGCCAUUGAAACUGGGUUACUUGAGUAUGGUAGAGGUAUGCGGAAUGCGUUGUGUAGCGGUGAAAUGCUUAGAUAUAACGCAGAACCCCAAUUGCGAAGGCAGCAUGCUGGACCAUUACUGACGCUGAGGCACGAAAGCGUGGGGAUCAAACAGGAUUAGAUACCCUGGUAGUCCACGCCGUAAACUAUGAAUGCUAGCUAUUGGCGAUAUACAGUCAGUGGCACAGAGAAAUCGUUAAGCAUUCCACCUGGGGAGUACGC
rnacentral:rRNA from 1 species